rnacentral:rRNA from 1 species
UACAGAGGUCCCAAGCGUUGUUCGGAUUCACUGGGCGUAAAGGAUGCGCAGGUGGUCGGGUAAGUCUGACGUGAAAUCCCGCAGCUUAACUGCGGAAUGGCAUUGGAUACUAUUCGGCUAGAGAGUUGGAGGGAAGACUGGAAUUCUCGGUGUAGCAGUGAAAUGCGUAGAUAUCGAGAGGAACACCAGUGGCGAAGGCGAGUCCCUGGACAACUCCUGACGCUGAGGCACGAAAGCGUGGGGAGCAAACAGG